rnacentral:ncRNA from 2 species
AGCAUAUCAAUAAGCGGAGGAAAAGA